GAUUAACGCUGGCGGCGUGCCUAACACAUGCAAGUCAAACGGGGUAGCAAUACCUAGUGGCAGACGGGUGAGUAACGCGUGGUCAACCUACCCUUUAGCGGGGAUAACUAGCCGAAAGGUUAGCUAAUACCGCAUGAAACAUAGCCGGGCAUCCGGCGAUGUUGAAAGAAGCAAUUCGCUUUUGGAUGGGACCGCGUCCGAUUAGUUAGUUGGUGGGGUAACGGCCUACCAAGACUCCGAUCGGUAGCCGGUUUGAGAGAGCGACCAGCCACACUGGGACUGAGAAACGGCCCAGACUCCUACGGGAGGCAGCAGUGAGGAAUUUUCCGCAAUGGGCGAAAGCCUGACGGAGCGACGCCGCGUGUGGGAAGAAGGCCUUCGGGUCGUAAACCACUGUCGAAGGGGACUAUAUUGAAGGUACCCUUGGAGGAAGCCCCGGCUAACUACGUGCCAGCAGCCGCGGUAAGACGUAGGGGGCAAGCGUUAUUCGGAAUUAUUGGGCGUAAAGCGCUCGUAGGCGGGAAAACAAGUCCGUGUUGAAAUACCUCGGCUCAACUGAGGACCCGGCUCGGAUACUGU
rnacentral:rRNA from 1 species